AACGAUAAAUCGCGUUUUUAACGCCCACACGAGUAAUCAAAUAUUUAGAUAGAACAUUUUGUUAUGUAAAAUCAUUGGUAUGUAAUUUUCUAGUGUAUACAUUAUGUAUACAUAAGAUCACUGCAAUUAAAAAGCAAUAUGUACAUUUAUGUACAUAUUGAAAAAGUAAUUAAUAUAUUUUAUUAAGUACUCUCAAAAAAAUAAUAACCUUUUUU
rnacentral:misc_RNA from 1 species